rnacentral:ncRNA from 1 species
CAGGAUUCCUAAAUGAAUUGGGCGCUUUGAGGAGAAAUCCUUAAAGUGGAUCUGCUCAAAUUCGGGGAAAGCUUCACAGGAGACUGUAUGCCAAUCCCGAGCCAAGCCUGUUUUAAAAAAACAAGGAAGGUGUAGAGACUGAACGGGCAGCACCUAAAAAGUGUAUACUUCAAGGUGAAGAGACAGUCCAGACCACAAACAG